UUUGAUAAGCUGAUAUGGGACA
rnacentral:miRNA from 12 species